rnacentral:rRNA from 1 species
GGAAGAAAAGCUUCGGGCUAAUACCUCGGAGUCUUGACGUUACCUCAAGAAGAAGCACCGGCUAACUCUGUGCCAGCAGCCGCGGUAAUACAGAGGGUGCAAGCGUUAAUCGGAAUUACUGGGCGUAAAGCGCGCGUAGGUGGUUAGGUAAGUCGGAUGUGAAAUCCCCGGGCUCAACCUGGGAACUGCAUUCGAAACUGCCUGGCUAGAGUUUGGUAGAGGGAAGUGGAAUUCCACAUGUAGCGGUGAAAUGCGUAGAUAUGUGGAGGAACACCAAUGGCGAAGGCAACUUCCUGGACUAAAACUGACACUGAGGCGCGAAAGCGUGGGGAGCAAACAGGAUUAGAUACCCUGGUAGUCCACGCCGUAAACGAUGAGAACUAGACGUUGGAAGGUAUAACCUUUUAGUGUCGCAGCUAACGCGUUAAGUUCUCCGCCUGGGGAGUACGGCCGCAAGGCUAAAACUCAAAUGAAUUGACGGGGGCCCGCACAAGCGGUGGAGCAUGUGGUUUAAUUCGAUGCAACGCGAAAAACCUUACCUGCCCUUGACAUCCAGAGAACCCCGCAGAGAUGCGGGGGUGCCGCAAGGAGCUCUGAGACAGGUGCUGCAUGGCUGUCGU